rnacentral:misc_RNA from 1 species
AAGUUCUCAACCACACAUACUACAUAUGUGGCUUGGAUGUGGGGGUGUGUAGGCUUCCCAGCUUGAAGUCUGCUCCCCUGAAAUGCAUUAGUGGUGUCUGAGCUACUACUACUAGAUGUGAUAAUUAUCUACAUCGAAAAACGUAUGCUUGCAGCAGCUGCUUCAAAUUUCAUAUGAAUUUGAUGA